rnacentral:misc_RNA from 1 species
CCAACCCUAACGUUGGUCUCUCUCAGACUCUCACUCCAUCCGAUCAAACUGCUAGGUACAUCAACCUCAGGGUUGAAUUGUAUGUACCAUGAAGAGGACAAUGCCAUGGAAUGAGCAGAUUGAUGUUAUAUCAUCAGAUGAAUCUUCUUCAUCGGAUGGAGAUAUUGAGAUUAAUGAUGGAGUUGAUGGGAAGCAACUGUCCCCUAAUAUUACACUUGAUCAACCUACAACAGAAAUGACAUCUGAGGGUAUGCUGAGCAGAAGAGCAGAAAUGUAUCAACAAUAUAUGAGUCAACUCCCCAUCCCAACACAUCAUGGCUCUGUCAUUCCAUUUUCAUCUUGGGUGGGAUUAGGCAAAUCAAUUAAGCA